UAACAAGGUCUCCGUAGGUGAACCUGCGGAGGGAUCAUUACACAAAUAUGAAGGCGGGCUGGAACCUCUCGGGAUUACAGCCUUGCUGAAUUAUUCACCCUUGUCUUUUGCGUACUUCUCGUUUCCUUGGUGGGUUCGCCCACCACUAGGACAAACAUAAACCUUUUGUAAUUGCAAUCAGCGUCAGUAACAAAUUAAUAAUUACAACUUUCAACAACGGAUCUCUUGGUUCUGGCAUCGAUGAAGAACGCAGCGAAAUGCGAUAAGUAGUGUGAAUUGCAGAAUUCAGUGAAUCAUCGAAUCUUUGAACGCACAUUGCGCCCUUUGGUAUUCCAAAGGGCAUGCCUGUUCGAGCGUCAUUUGUACCCUCAAGCUUUGCUUGGUGUUGGGCGUCUUGUCUCUAGCUUUGCUGGAGACUCGCCUUAAAGUAAUUGGCAGCCGGCCUACUGGUUUCGGAGCGCAGCACAAGUCGCACUCUCUAUCAGCAAAGGUCUAGCAUCCAUUAAGCCUUUUUUCAACUUUUGACCUCGGAUCAGGUAGGGAUACCCGCUGAACUUAAGCA
rnacentral:rRNA from 1 species